CCCUGAGCUGCUCUGCGGUGCUACCCUUUGUCCCUCCAGACUCUCUUUUCCUUCAUCUGUUUGUCAGUAAACCGAAGCCACCACAGUUUGUCAUUUGGAUGAUUUUCGCCAGAUGGAGAAGCUGCAGCUCCAGACUCUUGACAGCCGCACAACUUCCAAGGCAGUGGCCCCGCGGGCUGCAAACCCCACCUUCCUGCAGUUGCAGAGCCAGCUAAGAGGUGGGCAGCAUGCCAGGCCCCAUCAGCAGCCCCUGGAGCACACACCAAUUGCAGAUGCUCAGGAGACUCGGGGGAAGGAACGGGGUUUUCACCAGAACACCACAGGCAGGACCUCCCAGCAAAGGCCUCCAGAUGCUGUGAAAACCUAAGGCUCGUCCUCCUCCUGGCUUCCCAGGUUACCCAGCCACAACACACAGAUGCUGGGUCUGGGACGGCUCCACUGGAACCUGAGAUGACCUGAGGGUGUCCCAGUGAUAUAACAUAUGAGGAAAGCAGAAACAACUAAGAAAUAGACUCUGAAUGUGGCAGAUUCUAGAACUGAGAGGCGGAAGAGGAGCAGAUCUUCACUUUCCACACCUCAAGGUACUCAGCCAAUCACCUGUUCAUGCCUGAGAUUGUGAAUCCAAUAGGAAAGUACAAGGACAUGGAGAUUGUCAGAGCUGUUGUAUGAUGGUGGCAGCAGAGUCAAGAGUCCAGCGGAGAGGCAGCAAGCAUCCCAAGGAUCCCAUGACUGAGAACCAGCUUCUGUGGUUUAGAAGCAAGGCGCCAACUGGUAUGAGAAGCACAGACAGAUGGUGCCCUGGGAACACUGGCUGUCACGUGCUGGAGGAGGUUCCUCAGCAAGUCACCUUCCCUCCAUGGGCCUCUGUUGGAAAGAAGGCAUCAAGAUCAUUCCAGCUAUGAUUCCUGAGCUUUUAAUAUAUUCUUUCUGAUGAUUAAGAAAUAUAUCUGUCGAGCAUGGCAGCUUACGCCUGUAAUCCUAGCACUUUGUGAGGCCGAGGCGGGUGGAUCAUGAGGUCAGGAGUUCAAGACCAGCCUGACCAACAUGGUGAAACCUCGUGUCUACUAAAAAUACAAAAAUUAGCCGGGUGUUGUGGUGUGUGCUUGUAAUCCCAGCUACUCGGGAGGCUGAGGCAGGAGAAACACUUGAACCCGGGAGGCGGAGGUUGCAGUGAGCUGACAUCACGCCACUGCCCUCCAGCCUGGGUAACAGAGUGAGACUCCAUCUCAAAGAAAAAAAGAGAUAUAUCUGCAUGUGACAUGGAAAGAGGCUCAGAAUAUCAGACAUUUUACUACAGAUCUUGAAAACAGCUCUCCAAAACUAACUCCAGAUCCACCCUGGGGUUCUCAACUCCACAUGGUUUUCUAAAAUUGAGACCAAGACUAAGAUGAAGAGCUAUGCCUCGCCCUGAUGCUGCCAGGACUACUGUUCCCAUGACUACCUUGAGGUGCAGGCUGAGACCCUGGGUGUCUGUGGUGGCAGAGUACAGCAGAGGAGUUGGAGUCAAAGCAGUUUGGAUCCUCAUCCCAGCUGGGCCUCCUGAUGUUGGAGGGCCCUGGACAAAGGGUUUUCAUUUGCUGGGUCUCAGUUCUCCACAUGGACAACAAUGCACUGUAUGAGUUUUAAGGUUCUUUUCAGCUCUGACUCUCUGUGAGUCUGAAUCCAGUAGGAGCUAUUAUUUCCUUGAUUCCUCCUUACUGUUUUGUUCCCUUCUUCUCUGGUUUCUGUAUUAAAACUUUAUAUGUUUAUGAAUGGAUAAUCAAAAUGUGGUAUAUCCAUAUCAUGGAAUAUUAUACAGCCAUGAAAAGGAAUGAAGUACUGAUGCAUGCUACAACAUGGAUGAACCUUAAAAACACUAGGCUAAGUGAAAGAAGCCAGUCUCCAAAGACCAUAUGUGGUAUGAUUUCAUUGAUAUGAAAUGCUCAGAAUAGGCAGAUUUGUAGUGACAGAAAGUACAUUAGUGGCUGCCUAGGGCUAGGAAGAGAUGAGGAGUGACUCUCAAUGAGUACAGGAUUUCUUUUGGAAGUGAUGAAAAUGUUCAAAAAUUGAUUGCAGUGAUGGCUGUACAACUCUGUGAAUAUAUGAAAAACCCUUGAAUUAUACAAUUGAAAUUGGUGAAUUGUAUGGUAUAUGAAUUGUAUCUGAAUAAAGCUGUUAAAAAAACG
rnacentral:lncRNA from 1 species